rnacentral:rRNA from 1 species
UACGUAGGGUGCAAGCGUUGUUCGGAAUCACUGGGCGUAAAGGGCGCGUAGGCGGCCAGGCAAGUCGGCUUUGUGAAAGCCCGGGGCUCAACCCCGGAGGUGCGGCCGGGACUGCUUGGCUGGAGGCCGGAAGAGGAGGGUGGAAUACCCAGUGUAGAGGUGAAAUUCGUAGAUAUUCGGAAGAACACCAGUGGCGAAGGCGACUUACUGGACACAUAUUGACGCUGAGGUGCGAAAGCGUGGGGAGCAAACAGG